UUGUGAUGAACCCUUUAGAUGACGAGUCUGAACUUGUCCCUGCGAAGUUUCUUCGUGGGGGCAUCAAUUGACGAGACUUUCUUUUUAAUACCAUUCAUGCUUUUCUGACA
rnacentral:snoRNA from 1 species